rnacentral:lncRNA from 1 species
ACACAACCAAGUAACCAACAAAUUACCAUUAGAAAAGCAAUAUAGAGAACACAAGGUAAAUACUUCAAGUAAAUUAUAUGAUAUCCAAAAAGGUAAAUAGAUCUUUUUAAUUUUACUUUCGUUGCGCACGAAAGUAACAUCACUUAUAACCUAUAUCAAAUCAAAUGUCACAACAUUCAAGCCACAAGCACACAACCAAGAGAAGUUAUAUUCCAGUUAUGUUCUGUUCACACUUCUUUCUAAUUUGUUACUGGUGCUUUAGGCUCUUGCCCAGUUGUUUACUAGCGAAAUGCCCCGGUUGGUGCAGGAGAGGACUCGUUUGAACAGUGCAUAUAUCUUCGAGACCAUCCCGUUAGAUUCCGUGCCGCCAGUAACCAAAUCUGCCUAGUUCUUCCGGAGUAUCAAUGGAUUCUCCAAGCAGAUGUUGGAUAAUUCUAAUUAACUUAAUGAGCAAGUUAACUCGUUAAAGUGAAGUUUAUUGGGUUAAGGAAAAAAAACAUAUCAUGCUUAGGAUUUAUGUUUCCAUAUUAUUAUUAGGUUAAGGAGUAACUUAGUCUUAUAUAAAGAAGUUUCAUGGAGAGAUGUAACAUCAAGAAAAACACAUUGAAAUGUUUAGUUUUGUGUGAGUUUCUAAAUCUAAUAAAAAGAG